rnacentral:lncRNA from 1 species
GCGUUCGCCUGUCUCCAUGGCCGCCGAGACUGCGUUAACGAUGUCCCACGAUGAAGUGAAUCUCGCUUGGCGCGACGUGACGUACGACGUCCCCGUGAAGGUCAAGGCAAAGCCCGUCAAGCAGAAAGAUGUUAACAACACGCAACCCUCAUCGGACGGAGACUACAAGCGUAUCCUGCACGGCCUGUCCGGCCACGUCCGGGCGGGUCAGGUCGUGGCGGUCAUGGGACCCUCAGGCAGCGGCAAGACCUCGCUGAUACACGUCCUGGGCGGUAGGAGAGAGAGCGGCGUGAGCGGCUCAUUCGUCGUUAACGGCAAGGUUUACCCAAACACGCGAAGCCUGCUGGGCGACCUGGGGUACGUCACGCAGGAGGACGUUCUCCUCAACUCGCUCACGACGAAAGAGACGCUCAUGUUCGCCACGAGAUUGCGUCUCGCGGGCAGGAAGAUUAACGGCGACGAAACCGGCAAAACCAAGUCGAGGGCCAAGGCCAUCGAGGAAAUCGUCGAGCGCGCCAUCGACGACUUUGACCUCUCCCGCGCGGCGAACUCGCCGAUCGGCGUCGUCGGUCAGGGAGGCAUCAGCGGCGGCGAGAAACGCAGGCUCGUCAUCGCCAUGGAGUGCGUCCACAGGCCCAAGCUCCUGCUGCUGGACGAGCCGACUUCGGGUUUAGACGCCACCACCGCGCUGCUCGUGUGCAACAAACUCCGAGACAUCGCAAACGGAGAGCAGGGCCAUUCGCAUCGCGCCGCGGUGGUCACGUCCAUCCACCAGCCCAGGUCGUCCAUCAUGCCGCUGUUCGAUCAGUGCGUGCUGCUCGCGGACGGCAGGGAGGUGUACGCGGGUCCGACGUACGAGGCAAAGCCGGACGGGUCGCUGACCACCGGCGGCGUCAUGGGCUGGCUCGAAGACGUGGGCUACCGCUGUCCCAUGUUCGAGUCGCCGCCCGACUUUCUCCUGGAC